rnacentral:rRNA from 1 species
CCUACGGGAGGCAGCAGUGGGGAAUAUUGGACAAUGGGGGGAACCCUGAUCCAGCGACGCCGCGUGAGUGAAGAAGUAUUUCGGUAUGUAAAGCUCUAUCAGCAGGGAAGAAAAUGACGGUAUCUGUCUUAGAAGCCCCGGCUAACUACGGGCCAGCAGCCGCGGUAUUACGUAGGGGGCACGCGGUAUCCGGAUUUACUGGGUGUAAAGGGAGCGUAGACGGGGCAGCACGUCUGAUGUGAAAGGUCGGGGCCCAACCCCGGGACUGCAUUGGAAACUGUUGAACUGGAGUACAGGAGAGGUAAGCGGAAUUACUAGUGUAGCGGUGAAAUGCGUAGAUAUUAGGAGGAACACCAGUGGCGAAGGCGGCUUACUGGACGGUAACUGACGGUGAGGCGCGAAAGCGUGGGGAGCAAACAGGAGUAGAUACCCGUGUAGUC